rnacentral:rRNA from 1 species
UACGAAGGGGGCUAGCGUUGUUCGGAAUCACUGGGCGUAAAGGGCGCGUAGGCGGCUUUAUAAGUCGGGGGUGAAAUCCCGGGGCUCAACCCCGGAACUGCCUUUGAUACUGAUAGUCUCGAGUCCGGAAGAGGUGAGUGGAAUUCCGAGUGUAGAGGUGAAAUUCGUAGAUAUUCGGAGGAACACCAGUGGCGAAGGCGGCUCACUGGUCCGGUACUGACGCUGAGGUGCGAAAGCGUGGGGAGCAAACAGG